GAGACAGCUGGGACACCUGGGGGACAUCCUGUGAGUGCUGGGAAUUUGGGAAUUCAAUAUGGGAUCAUUGGGAAUGAUCAUUGGGAUCACUGAGAAUUCAUAAUGGGAGCCGCGGGAAUGCCGGGAACGGGAGAGGCAGCUGGCGGAGAGACAGCUGGGACACCUGGGGGACAUCCUGUGAGGGAAUGGGAUCAUUGGGAAUUUGGGAUUGAUCAUUGGGAUCAUUGGGAUUGAUCAUUGGGAUCAUUGGGAUCAUUGGGAAUUCAUAAUGGGAACCGCGGGAAUGCCGGGAACGGGAGAGACAGCUGGCGGAGAGACAGCUGGGACACCUGGGGGACAUCCUGUGAGGGAAUGGGGAUUUGGGAAUUUGGGAUUGAUCAUUGGGAUUGAUCAUUGGGAUCACUGGGAAUUCAUUAUGGGAACCGCGGGAAUGCCGGGAACGGGAGCGGCAGCUGGCGGAGAGACAGCUGGGACACCUGGGGGACAUCCUCUCCAAGUACGAGGAGGAGCGGAGGUGAGCGGAACCGGCGGGGAAAAAAUCCGGGAAUUUGGGAAAAAUUCCCAGUUUUCCCUGCGGAAUCUUUUCCCCCUUUUUCCCGUCCCUCUUUUCCCUGGAAUUCCCAAUUUUCCCUGUGGAUCCUUUCCCCGGAAUUCCCAAUUUUCCCAGGGGAUCCUUUCCCUGGAAUUCCCAAUUUUCCCUGGGAAUCCUUUCCCCAGAAUUCCCAAUUUUCCCUGGGAAUCCUUUCCCUGGAAUUCCCGAUUUUCCCUGAGGAUCCUUUCCCCAGAAUUCCCAAUUUUCCCAGUGGAUCCUUUCCCUGGAAUUCCCAAUUUUCCCAGUGGAUCCUUUCCCCGGAAUUCCCAAUUUUCCCUGUGGGUCCUUUCCCUGGAAUUCCCAAUUUUCCCAGUGGAUCCUUUCCCCAGAAUUCCCAAUUUUCCCAGUGGAUCCUUUCCCUGGAAUUCCCAAUUUUCCCAGGGAAUCCUUUCCCCAGAAUUCCCAAUUUUCCCAGUGGAUCCUUUCCCCAGAAUUCCCAAUUUUCCCUGUGGAUCCUUUCCCUGGAAUUCCCAAUUUUCCCUGUGGGUCCUUUCCUGCCAUUCCAAAUUUUCCCAGUGGAUCCUUUCCCCAGAAUUCCCAAUUUUCCCAGUGGAUCCUUUUCCCCGGAAUUCCCAAUUUUCCCAGUGGAUCCUUUCCCUGGAAUUCCCAAUUUUCCCUGGGAAUCCUUUCCCCAGAAUUCCCGAUUUUCCCUGUGGAUCCUUUCCCUGGAAUUCCCAAUUUUCCCAGUGGAUCCUUUCCUGCCAUUCCCAAUUUUCCCUGUGGAUCCUUUCCCCAGAAUUCCCAAUUUUCCCUGGGGAUCCUUUCCCCAGAAUUCCCGAUUUUCCCUGGGGAUUUUCCCUUUCCCCGGAAUUCCCAAUUUUCCCUGGGAAUCCUUUCCCUGGAAUUCCCAAUUUUCCCAGUUGAUCCUUUCCCUGCCAUUCCCAGUUUUCCCAGGGGAUUUUCCCUUUCCCUGCCAUUCCCGAUU
rnacentral:lncRNA from 1 species